rnacentral:rRNA from 1 species
CCUACGGGAGGCAGCAGUAGGGAAUUUUCGUCAAUGGGCGCAAGCCUGAACGAGCAAUGCCGCGUGAACGAGGAAGGUCUUCGGAUCGUAAAGUUCUGUUGAAGGGGAAAAAGAGCGGAGAGAGGAAAUGGUCUCCGAUUGAUAUUACCCUUCGAGGAAGUCACGGCUAACUACGUGCCAGCAGCCGCGGUAAUACGUAGGUGGCGAGCGUUAUCCGGAAUGAUUGGGCGUAAAGGGUGCGUAGGCGGCCUGCUAAGUCUGGAGUGAAGGGUACCGGCCAAACCGGUACAGGCUCUGGAAACUGGCGGGCUAGAGAGCAGGAGAGGGCGGUGGAACGCAAGGUGUAGCGGUAAAAUGCUGAGAUA